rfam:Cicer arietinum chromosome Ca3, whole genome shotgun sequence.
AUUCCUCGCUAUGAUGAUAAACUUGAUCCCAGCUCUAUGAGACCGAAAGGUCAGGGACUAGAACUUGUUCCAACACACAUUUGUCUGAGCCUCGGAAU